rnacentral:rRNA from 1 species
UCAGCUUGAUGGUGAGGUAAUGGCUCACCAUGGCUUCGACGGGUAGCCGGCCUGAGAGGGUGACCGGUCACACUGGGACUGAGACACGGCCCAGACUCCUACGGGAGGCAGCAGUGGGGAAUAUUGGACAAUGGGCGGAAGCCUGAUCCAGCAACGCCGCGUGAGGGAUGACGGCCUUCGGGUUGUAAACCUCUUUCAGUACCGACGAAGCGCAAGUGACGGUAGGUACAGAAGAAGCACCGGCCAACUACGUGCCAGCAGCCGCGGUAAUACGUAGGGUGCGAGCGUUGUCCGGAAUUAUUGGGCGUAAAGGGCUCGUAGGCGGUUUGUCGCGUCGGGAGUGAAAACCAGGUGCUUAACACCUGGCUUGCUUUCGAUACGGGCAGACUAGAGGUAUUCAGGGGAGAACGGAAUUCCUGGUGUAGCGGUGAAAUGCGCAGAUAUCAGGAGGAACACCGGUGGCGAAGGCGGUUCUCUGGGAAUAUCCUGACGCUGAGGAGCGAAAGUGUGGGGAGCGAACAGGAUUAGAUACCCUGGUAGUCCACACCGUAAACGUUGGGCGCUAGGUGUGGGGUCCAUUCCACGGAUUCCG